rnacentral:rRNA from 1 species
GUAAGGGAUAUUGCACAAUGGGGGAAACCCUGAUGCAGCAACGCCGCGUGGGUGAAGAAGGCUUUCGAGUCGUAAAACCCUUUUCUAGGGGAAGAGGAAGGACAGUACCCUAGGAACAAGUCUCGGCUAACUACGUGCCAGCAGCCGCGGUAAGACGUAGGAGGCGAGCGUUAUCCGGAUUCAUUGGGCGUAAAGGGCAAGUAGGCGGUUGUCAAAGUUGGGCGUGACAUCUCCUGGCUCAACUAGGAGAGGUCGUUCAAAACUAGGCAACUAGAGGGCAGAAGAGGAAAGCGGAACUCCUGAUGUAGCGGUGGAAUGCUCAGAUAUCAGGAAGAACACCAGUGGCGAAGGCGGCUUUCUGGUCUGCACCUGACGCUGAGAGGCGAAGGCCAGGGUAGCGAACGGGCUUAGAAACCCGAGUAGUCC